UCUCCACAUCCCAACAUCCUUCCGGACUAAUCCGAGCAAACUUCCCAAGCUUAUCCCCUGUUUCGGAACCAACUCUCAUCCCGCUUGUGAUUCCCUGCAUCCCAAAACAGAAUCCCAUGAUCCAUGGGAUGAACCCAAAUCCAAUUUUUCCGGCAUCUCCUCUCAGCCGAGAACACCACCCCCCUGAUCCCAGCCGUUAACGAAGUCCCAAGCUACCCAUCCCGUGUCCGUAGAUUAAGCAUCCCAGCCUCAAAACAGAGUUCAUCCUUAUCCCACGGAUCUCCCAGCUUAAUCCCAGCCAAAUCCAACGUACCCUACCAUGUCGUCCGUAUCAUCCCAGAUUUCCUCCAAGCUUCCAAGCCUUCUUCGCAUUCAACCAUUCCGUCUCAUCCUCCCGUUCGGAACGAAGUCCCAGAUUUCACGGCGUCCAAACAAGCUUCCCCUGUUUCGAAACCGAAGUAUCAAGGUCCCAUUCUUUCCGUGAUCCACCUUCAUCUCAAUCCUCCUCUUCCA
rnacentral:lncRNA from 1 species